AGUGAACGCUGGCGGUAGGCCUAACACAUGCAAGUCGAACGGCAGCACAGAGGAGCUUGCUCCUUGGGUGGCGGGUGGCGGACGGGUGAGGAAUACAUCGGAAUCUACUCUGUCGUGGGGGAUAACGUAGGGAAACUUACGCUAAUACCGCAUACGACCUACGGGUGAAAGCAGGGGAUCUUCGGACCUUGCGCGAUUGAAUGAGCCGAUGUCGGAUUAGCUAGUUGGCGGGGUAAGGGCCCACCAAGGCGACGAUCCGUAGCUGGUCUGAGAGGAUGAUCAGCCACACUGGAACUGAGACACGGUCCAGACUCCUACGGGAGGCAGCAGUGGGGAAUAUUGGACAAUGGGCGCAAGCCUGAUCCAGCCAUACCGCGUGGGUGAAGAAGGCCUUCGGGUUGUAAAGCCCUUUUGUUGGGAAAGAAAUCCAUCUGGUUAAUACCCGGGUGGGAUGACGGUACCCAAAGAAUAAGCACCGGCUAACUUCGUGCCAGCCGCCGCAGUAA
rnacentral:rRNA from 1 species